GUUGUCAUAGCUUAGCUAAAGCAUAGCACUGAAAAUGCUAAGACGGCCACAACCUGAUAACA
rnacentral:tRNA from 1 species